rnacentral:rRNA from 1 species
UUGAACGUUGGCGGCAUGCCUUACACAUGCAAGUCGAACGGCAGCACGGGAGCAAUCCUGGUGGCGAGUGGUGAAUGGGUGAGUAAUAUAUCGGACUGUAUUUGGUAGUGGGGGAUAGUCCGGCGAAAGUCGGAUUAAUAUUGUAUACGAUUUGAGGGUGAAAGCGGGGGAUCGCAAGACCUCGCGCUACUGGAGCGGCCGAUGGCAUAUUAGGUAGUUGGUGGGGUAAAGGCCUACCAAGCCUACGAUCUGUAGCUGGUUUGAGAGGACGAUCAGUCAUAUUGGGACUGAGACACGGUUCAGAUUUUUAUGGGAGGUAGUAGUGGGGAAUUUUGGACAAUGGACGAAAGUCUGAUCCAGCAAUGCCGCGUGCAGGAUGAAGGCCUUCGGGUUGUAAACUGCUUUUGUACGGAACGAAACGGUCCGCCUUAAUACGGUGGGCUAAUGACGGUACCGUAAGAAUAAGCACCGGCUAACUACGU